GAGGAUGAUCAGCCACACUGGAACUGACACACGGUCCAGACUCCUACGGGAGGCAGCAGUGAGGAAUUUUGCGCAAUGGGGGAAACCCUGACGCAGCAACGCCGCGUGAGUGAUGAAGGCCUUCGGGUCGUAAAGCUCUGUCAAGUGGGAAGAAACUGUUUGAUGCUAAUACCAUCUUACACUGACGGUACCACUGAAGGAAGCACCGGCUAACUCCGUGCCAGCAGCCGCGGUAAUACGGGGGGUGCAAGCGUUAUUCGGAAUUAUUGGGCGUAAAGGGCGCGUAGGCGGUCUCUUAAGUCAGAUGUGAAAGCCCGGGGCUUAACUCCGGAAGUGCAUUUGAAACUAAGGGACUUGAGUAUGGGAGAGGGAAGUGGAAUUCCUGGUGUAGCGGUGAAAUGCGUAGAUAUCAGGAGGAACACCGGUGGCGAAGGCGACUUCCUGGACCAAUACUGACGCUAAGGCGCGAAGGCGUGGUAGCAAACAGGAUUAGAUACCCUGGUAGUCCACGCAGUAAACGGUGAACACUAGGUGUAGCGGGUAUUGACCCCUGCUGUGCCGUAGCUAACGCAUUAAGUGUUCCGCCUGGGGAGUACGAUCGCAAGAUUAAAACUCAAAGGAAUUGACGGGGACCCGCACAAGCGGUGGAGCAUGUGGUUUAUUCGACGCAACGCGAAGAACCUUACCUGGAUUUGACAUCCCGAGAAGUCUUUCGAAAGAUUGAUGUGCCCUUCGGGGAACUCGGUGACAGGUGCUGCAUGGCUGUCGUCAGCUCGUGUCGUGAGAUGUUGGGUUAAGUCCCGCAACGAGCGCAACCCCUAUCUUUAGUUACCAGCAAUUCGGUUGGGGACUCUAAAGAUACUGCCCCGGUCAACGGGGAGGAAGGUGGGGACGACGUCAAGUCCUCAUGGCCUUUAUGUCCAGGGCUACACACGUGCUACAAUGGGCUGUACAAAGGGUCGCGAACUCGCGAGAGUGAGCCAAUCCCAUAAAGCAGUUCUAAGUUCGGAUUGGAGUCUGCAACUCGACUCCAUGAAGUUGGAAUCGCUAGUAAUCGUGGAUCAGCAUGCCACGGUGAAUACGUUCCCGGGUCUUGUACACACCGCCCGUCACACCAUGAGAGUUGGCUGUACCAGAAGUUGUUGGACUAACCUCGUUUAUCGAGGAGGUAGGCACCUAAGGUAUGGUUGAUGAUUAGGGUGAAGUCGUAACAAGGUA
rnacentral:rRNA from 1 species